rnacentral:rRNA from 1 species
UACGUAGGGGCCUAGCGUUGUCCGGAUUUAUUGGGCGUAAAGAGCUCGUAGGCGGUUCGGUAAGUCAGGUGUGAAAUCUCCACGCUCAACGUGGAGGCGCCACCUGGAACUGCCGUGACUCGAGUCCGGUAGGGGAGUGUGGAAUUCCUGGUGUAGCGGUGAAAUGCGCAGAUAUCAGGAGGAACACCAGUGGCGAAGGCGGCACUCUGGGCCGGUACUGACGCUGAGGAGCGAAAGCGUGGGGAGCGAA